rnacentral:rRNA from 1 species
UACGGGGGGAGCAAGCGUUGUUCGGAUUUACUGGGCGUAAAGGGCUCGUAGGCGGCCAACUAAGUCAGACGUGAAAUCCCUCGGCUUAACCGGGGAACUGCGUCUGAUACUGGAUGGCUUGAGAUUGGGAGAGGGAUGCGGAAUUCCAGGUGUAGCGGUGAAAUGCGUAGAUAUCUGGAGGAACACCGGUGGCGAAGGCGGCAUCCUGGACCAACACUGACGCUGAGUGAGCGAAAGCCAGGGGAGCAAACGGG